GAUGAACGCUGGCGGCGUGCUUAACACAUGCAAGUCGAACGGGAAACCUUUUAUUGAAGCUUCGGCAGAUUUAGCUGGUUUCUAGUGGCGGACGGGUGAGUAACGCGUGGGUAACCUGCCUUAUACAGGGGGAUAACAACCAGAAAUGGUUGCUAAUACCGCAUAAGCGCACCGGACCGCAUGGUCCGGUGUGAAAAACUCCGGUGGUAUAAGAUGGACCCGCGUUGGAUUAGCUAGUUGGCAGGGUAACGGCCUACCAAGGCGACGAUCCAUAGCCGGCCUGAGAGGGUGAACGGCCACAUUGGGACUGAGACACGGCCCAGACUCCUACGGGAGGCAGCAGUGGGGAAUAUUGCACAAUGGGGGAAACCCUGAUGCAGCGACGCCGCGUGAAGGAAGAAGUAUCUCGGUAUGUAAACUUCUAUCAGCAGGGAAGAUAGUGACGGUACCUGACUAAGAAGCCCCGGCUAACUACGUG
rnacentral:rRNA from 1 species